GUGUCCUGCCUUUCUUGGACGUUUCCUCCCUAAACUCGGCGGCGCCUUCGGGUGCCGCCCUUUUUUUGGGCCAU
rnacentral:sRNA from 1 species